rnacentral:pre_miRNA from 1 species
CUGGCUAAACAUUCAAAUAUGUUUUUCAAACAUUUCGUUUGAAGCUAAUGUUUGUAUGUUUAGCCA